UGUGUCUCUUUCAUUUUCAUUUUCUUUCUUUCUUUCUUUUUGAUUAAACCUCUUUCUCUUCUGCAGCCCUGAGAGUUGGGGUACAGACAUGCUGCAUGCAACGAACCUAUUAUGGUUACAGUUUAGCCUGGACCAGGCAACAGAAGUGGGUCCUCAGAAGACACUGAAUCUGCCAUUCCUUGACCUUGGACUUCAGCCUCCAGAACUAGACGAGGUUUCAUCAUGUUGCACAGGCUCAUCUCCAUCUCCUGAGCUCAAGAGAUCCACUCACCGUGGCCUCCCAAAGUGCUGAGAUUACAGGCAUGAGCCACCGCAGCUGGCCUGAACUGUACUCUUGAAAAUGGUUAAGAUAAUAAAUUUAAUGUUUUGUGUUUGCACUACAAUAAAACAUAGAGAGACCCCAGUUUAUGUUGCUUCAACUCUUGCCUCCUUUUCCUAUAUUUUUCUCUUCCGUUUUCUCCUCUCCUCCCUUUUUGUUACCCCCACUUUCCCCUGAACCUUGACAUAUUGCAAAGCCUUGCAAAAUAAACUGUUCUGAGAGUUGCUGAAAAGGGAUUGCACCCAUAAUACCAUGAAAGAGGUAUUGAAACCACAGCAACGACAGUCUCCAAUGGACACGAUGCCAGGUUUUGCAACAGCUGAAGAUGAAGAAAAGUGUAAUUUGUUUUUUGGUUUUUGUUUUUUUUUUUGAAACAGAGUCUUGCUCUGUUGCGCAGGCUGGAGUGCAGUGACACGAUCUCGGCUUACUGCAACCUCCGCCUCCAAGGUUCAAGCGAUUCUCCUGCCUC
rnacentral:lncRNA from 10 species